AUUCCAGCUCCAAUAGCGUAUAUUAAAGUUGUUGCAGUUAAAAAGCUCGUAGUUGGAUUUGUGGCAGUGCUCGAGUGCCUUUUUUGGACGCUUUGAGCACAGCCAUCCUUGGGAGGAAUUCGUGUGGCAUUAGGUUGUUGCAUGGGGGAUACUCAACUUUUACUGUGAAAAAAUCAGCGCGUUCAAAGCAAGCUUAUGCUCUUGAAUGUAUUAGCAUGGAAUAAUAAGAUAGGACUUUAGUACUAUUUUGUUGGUUUGCGUAUUAAGGUAAUGAUUAAUAGGGAUAGUUGGGGGUAUUCGUAUUCCAUUGUCAGAGGUGAAAUUCUUGGAUUUUUGGAAGACGAACUACUGCGAAAGCAUUUACCA
rnacentral:rRNA from 1 species